AUUGAACGCUGGCGGCAGGCCUAACACAUGCAAGUCGGACGGUAGCACAGAGGAGCUUGCUCCUCGGGUGACGAGUGGCGGACGGGUGAGUAAUGUCUGGGGAUCUGCCCGAUAGAGGGGGACAACCACUGGAAACGGUGGCUAAUACCGCAUAACGUCGCAAGACCAAAGAGGGGGACCUUCGGGCCUCUCACUAUCGGAUGAACCCAGAUGGGAUUAGCUAGUAGGCGGGGUAACGGCCCACCUAGGCGACGAUCCCUAGCUGGACUGAGAGGAUGACCAGCCACACUGGAACUGAGACACGGUCCAGACUCCUACGGGAGGCAGCAGUGGGGAAUAUUGCACAAUGGGCGCAAGCCUGAUGCAGCCAUGCCGCGUGUAUGAAGAAGGCCUUCGGGUUGUAAAGUACUUUCAGCGGGGAGGAAGGCGAUAAGGUUAAUAACCUUGUCGAUUGACGUUACCCGCAGAAGAAGCACCGGCUAACUCCGUGCCAGCCGCCGCAGUAC
rnacentral:rRNA from 1 species